AUUGAACGCUGGCGGCAUGUCUUACACAUGCAAGUCGAACGGCAGCACGGGUGCUUGCACCUGGUGGCGAGUGGCGAACGGGUGAGUAAUACAUCGGAACAUGCCCUGUAGUGGGGGAUAGCCCGGCGAAAGCCGGAUUAAUACCGCAUACGAUCUACGGAUGAAAGCGGGGGACCUUCGGGCCUCGCGCUAUAGGGUUGGCCGAUGGCUGAUUAGCUAGUUGGUGGGGUAAAGGCCUACCAAGGCGACGAUCAGUAGCUGGUCUGAGAGGACGACCAGCCACACUGGGACUGAGACACGGCCCAGACUCCUACGGGAGGCAGCAGUGGGGAAUUUUGGACAAUGGGCGAAAGCCUGAUCCAGCAAUGCCGCGUGUGUGAAGAAGGCCUUCGGGUUGUAAAGCACUUUUGUCCGGAAAGAAAUCCUUGGCCCUAAUACGGUCGGGGGAUGACGGUACCGGAAGAAUAAGCACCGGCUAACUACGUG
rnacentral:rRNA from 1 species